GAUUGGAUGCCUUUCUGCUUUAUAAUAAGCCCUUUAUGCUUAUUUUGAUCUGCCUGUCACUUGAAUAAAAAUGUCAGGAGGUGGAAAAAACAAGAAGUUUGAAAGAAGCAGAACCUAAAGGUUUUUUCCCCCUAGGCUGUUCCACAGUGUGUGCUGAGAACCGCAUCCCAGUGUAGAAAUUCCUAUCUUGGAAGAGGGAAGACUCUUUGAGUCCAAGUUCACGAAUAUAAACAAGGCCUACUCUGCCAAUGACAACAAGAUGGUUGCCUCUCAGAGACUUCCUUCCUUUGUUUCUUUCUUCCUUCUUUCUUUCCUACUUUUUUUCCUUUCUUUCUUCCUUCCUUUUCUUUCUUCUUUCCUUCUUUCCAAAAAAUCAUAUCUUAGAAAACCUCAAACUUCUUAGAAAAUGAAUUAUUGGAAAAGUACAAAUAUAUAAAAUUUAAAAAUUUUGGUAUGCACCAGUCUACAUAGUGGAGAUUAUAGGAACAAGACAGAAGAAUCAAGUUUAAGGCCAUUCAUGGUAUUUUGAAAACCUCAUUCUAUAAAUAACAUGUAUACUUCUAUUUCAAAAUAUAUUAAGUCAUCAAUUAGCAUCUUGUCACCAAUUGAUAUUUAUUAAGAAAUUAAUGGAGGCCUAGCAUUUUGCUAGACACAAUGCAUAUUUAUUCCGGGCAAGUAGACAUGAAAAUCUUUCCUGUGGCCUUUAUCAUAUGCCAUGAUUCAUCAUGCAUGAAAUCUAAAUAUUCUUUAUCCUGAGCUUAAUUUGAAUCUUCAUCAUUGAAAACAGGUGCGUGAUUGAAGAGACAAAUGCAGUACUAUGAGUAGGGCAAGCAAGCUUUGAUUCUAAAUCUCACCAUUAGCUUGCAGUAGGACAUGGCUGCAUUUUCCUGGGACAAAGACAUCCAAAGUUUACCCCAAGAUAAUAUCAUUCAUGACACCUUUCUCCCAGAUUUUUGCUUCCUCCUUUUGGCUUCUAAGGAAAUCAAAGGAAAAACAAAUAUAUUUUAAAUCCAACCGUUUCCCAUUACUCUCACUGGGACCCCCUGGUCCCAGCCUCAGUCUUCUCCAACUCAGUCAGUGCAACAAUCCCCUCAGCUGUCGCCCUGCUCUUGCCCUGGCCUCCUGCAGCCUCUUCUCUGUGGAGCGGGCAGAGGGAUUCUCUUAAGAAGGAACAAAGAUCAUACCACACCUCUGCUCAAAAACCUCCAGUGGCUCCUCAUUUCACUCAGAGCCAGUGCCCCGUCUUCGGCCACUGUCUGCGUAGGGCCUUUGCACAUGCCAUUCCCUCCAUCUGGAGGGCCUCCUCUCCCUAGAUGGUCAGGACUUCCUUUUAGCUCUAGUCUGUUUCAUCCUGUAGGCCUUCACUAACAGCCUCCCCAGCAACUUCUCCGCAUUGCCACAGCACUCCCUGUACUUUUUCUUGGAAUGUUUUCUCCAUGCCACUUAUAACCCACCCAAGACACUUUCUUUAUUUGUGUAUUGGUUUACUAUCUGUCUGCCCUAAUUGAAUGAAAGUUCUAGGCAGGCAAGAAUUUUUGUCUUUCUAAACUACUAUAUCCCCCAUGCCCAGAACUAUAUCUGGUACAAAUAUUUAAUGAAGAAAAAAUAAAAACCACCUGCUUCAAUCAGUGCUUCUGUUUUUCUAACCCAUUGAAAAGGACUACAAGUCCACCCAAGCAUGAGGAAUGCUAAGCAGAUUAGGAUCCAUCCAGAUUUCCUUGUAUCCAAUUGCACAUUAAAAAUCUACUAGCGGCCGGGCGCGGUGGCUCACGCCUGUA
rnacentral:lncRNA from 1 species